rnacentral:rRNA from 1 species
CCCUUAGAUGUUCUGGGCCGCACGCGCGCUACACUGAUGCAUUCAACGAGUCUAAAACCUGCUCUGAUAGGGGUGGGUAAUCUUUUGAAUGUGCAUCGUGAUUGGGAUGGAUGAUUGCAAUUUUUCAUCUUCAACGAGGAAUGCCUAGUAAACGCAAGUCAUCAGCUUGCAUUGAUUACGUCCCUGCCCUUUGUACACACCGCCCGUCGCUCCUACCGAUUGAAUGAUCCGAUGAAUAUCAUGGAUUGAGGAUGCAAGUAGGUUAGCCUAUCUUCAUCUUCGAGAAGUGAAGUAAAUCUUAUCAUUUAGAGGAAGGAGAAGUCGUAACA